UACCAGACUCCUACGGGAGGCAGCAGUGGGGAAUAUUGGGCAAUGGGCGCAAGCCUGACCCAGCAACGCCGCGUGAAGGAAGAAGGCUUUCGGGUUGUAAACUUCUUUUCUCAGGGACGAAGCAAGUGACGGUACCUGAGGAAUAAGCCACGGCUAACUACGUGCCAGCAGCCGCGGUAAUACGUAGGUGGCAAGCGUUAUCCGGAUUUACUGGGUGUAAAGGGCGUGUAGGCGGGACUGCAAGUCAGAUGUGAAAUCCACGGGCUCAACCUGUGGCCUGCAUUUGAAACUGUCAGUCUUGAGUACCGGAGAGGUCAUCGGAAUUCCUUGUGUAGCGGUGAAAUGCGUAGAUAUAAGGAAGAACACCAGUGGCGAAGGCGGAUGACUGGACGGCAACUGACGGUGAGGCGCGAAAGCGUGGGGAGCAAACAGGAUUAGAUCCCCGUGUA
rnacentral:rRNA from 1 species